rnacentral:rRNA from 3 species
GUGUGAAUUGCAGAAUCCCGUGAACCAUCGAGUCUUUGAACGCAAGUUGCGCCCGAAGCCAUCCGGCCGAGGGCACGUCUGCCUGGGCGUCACA